rnacentral:rRNA from 1 species
UACGUAGGGGGCAAGCGUUAUCCGGAUUUACUGGGUGUAAAGGGAGCGUAGACGGCAUAGCAAGUCUGAUGUGAAAGAUCGGAGCUCAACUCCGGGCCUGCAUUGGAAACUGUUAAGCUGGAGUACAGGAGAGGUAAGCGGAAUUCCUAGUGUAGCGGUGAAAUGCGUAGAUAUUAGGAGGAACACCAGUGGCGAAGGCGACUACUGGACUGUAAACUGACGUUGAGGCACGAAAGUGUGGGGGAGCAAACAGGGAUUAAGAAAACCC